GUUUGGCGGAAAUGCGUCACGGGUAGACGUGCACGGGGUGAGCUGUUUAUAGCGACAUACAUUGUUUCUGUGGCUUGUGUACCCGGUAUGGAUUAUCGAAAUAUUACGGCAUGUGGAACAGGCACAGAAUACAGACUGUGCUUCGCAUGACGGGUUAGCAGUCUCAACAAGUAAGUCAGGACCGGGCAGGUGUUCCCACCCAUAUUGCUACUUGAGCAUCAGGACCGACCAAGAGGGUUAUCUUUCACCAGGGUCUAGGCCAGCGAAGGGGCUAUGUAUGAAGAUCAUCAUGGAGGCCAAGGUCGGCGACUUUAUUAGCGACUGUUCUUCUGAGAACCAACCAACCAUUGUGGUGUGCUGUCGUGUCAUGGACACUAGUGCGGUUACCUAGCAAGGUGUAUACAAGCAUGGAACUGCUUGAAGAUAUUGGCUCUGGAUUGAGCUGGGUCACGAGUCAGUGACUGUUGUGGGAACUUUGUUGUGGUUCCUGAGAACUUUGGUAUUUAUCAUCGUCGUGGCCGUGUGUGAAGCGUCAAGCUACAUAUACAAUUUAUUACUUUAUUGUAGAGAGUGUGUGAGAUUGUGAGGGUGUAUGGUAUAUAUUUAAUGCUUAUAUGUUUUUCAUUGUAAAUAAACAUCAUCAUAGUUUUGUAA